UGGGGAAUUUUGGACAAUGGGGGAAACCCUGAUCCAGCCAUCCCGCGUGUGCGAUGAAGGCCUUCGGGUUGUAAAGCACUUUUGGCAGGAAAGAAACGUCGCGGGUUAAUACCCCGCGAAACUGACGGUACCUGCAGAAUAAGCACCGGCUAACUACGUGCCAGCAGCCGCGGUAAUACGUAGGGUGCAAGCGUUAAUCGGAAUUACUGGGCGUAAAGCGUGCGCAGGCGGUUCGGAAAGAAAGAUGUGAAAUCCCAGAGCUUAACUUUGGAACUGCAUUUUUAACUACCGGGCUAGAGUGUGUCAGAGGGAGGUGGAAUUCCGCGUGUAGCAGUGAAAUGCGUAGAUAUGCGGAGGAACACCGAUGGCGAAGGCAGCCUCCUGGGAUAACACUGACGCUCAUGCACGAAAGCGUGGGGAGCAAACAGGAUUAGAUACCCUGGUAGUCCACGCCCUAAAACGAUGUCAACUAGCUGUUGGGGCCUUCGGGCCUUGGUAGCGCAGCUAACGCGUGAAGUUGACCGCCUGGGGAGUACGGUCGCAAGAUUAAAACUUAAAUGAAUUGAC
rnacentral:rRNA from 1 species